AAGCAACAUAGUGAGACCCCAUCUCUACCAUAAAAAAGCGGUGUCAGUCUCGCAGCCUGUCGGUCUCGAAGCUCACCCAGAGGAGAGCUUCGGACUGCUCCGGAUGUGGCUGUUCUUGGCUCCCACAGACCCAGAACAUCCUCCCCAGCCUGUGCUCCCUGUGGGGCACGCUCUCCAGUGAAGCGAGGGCAGCCACGUACCCCUGGGAAUGCCUUGGAGAGGGGCCAACUGCCAUCACCAGGGGCCAGGCUCUGCAACCACCCACACCUACAGCGAGUCCGUCUGAGAGAUGAGGAAGCUGAGGCUCCCGGGCCUGUGGCUCCCAUCCCCUCUGCGGGUCACCCGACCGCCCAAAGCCUGGCAGCCAACUUGCCAUGUCAGUGGCUGGCAGUGGGCUCCUCUCCUGGCUCGGGGAGCAGUUCCGGCAGGCGUCCACCAGGUGGCAGCACCAGCACAUUCUGUAGGCUGUUCAAGCUCAGAACUCUAGUGCUCUGGGGUAACCUGGGACCCAGCCCAUCCCCUCCCCCUGCUCUCUCGAGAGUCCUGGCCCUUCUUCCACUGUGGCCCAGGCCAUGAUCUUGGCCCUAGCUCUGAGCCUUCCUGGUCGUCAGGGUCUCAUUCACUGCCCCACCCAGGGGAACAGCAGCUGGGGCUGGGGGGCAGAUGGCCACAUAGUCCAGUGGUCUUCAUGGCUGGAGUGAAGCUGGGUGGGGUCAAGGGAAGAAGAGGUGGAUUCUAAGGGGGCAGGGCCAGCCAGGGCCUCCCAUGUCCCCUCAGGCCAGGACUCUGAGGAUGGGAGAGGCUGUCCCUGGGCACAGGACUGCAGACUCCAAGCCCACCACGAAGCCUGUCCGCAGACCUGCUGGGGCGGUGGUGCCCACAGGAGGAGAGGAGGAAAGGCAGCUGCUCUGAGGAUGCUGGUUCCCUCCGGGGCUCCCACUCUCUCCCUGGCUGCGCACUCCUCCACCCAGCAAAGUGAGCCAAACUUGAAAAGCAACUUUUAUUGAAGAAUUUGGAGGGAAAGUUUCAUAUUAUAAUAGUAAAAAUACUAAAGUUGAAUGUCGUAAAAAAACGCCAUGGUGCAGCAGCAGCGGCAGCGUCCGGCUGGGAGGGGCGUGGAGGGCCCAGGGACAGCCACCCCCAGAGCGAGUCAGGGCGGGCCUGGGGCGACAGCGGAAAGGUUCAGCGUCAAAAAGGUCAAGUGCUAUCGAGGAGAGGUCAUCUGAGGGGAGGCUCCCGGUGGGACAGUCACCAAGAACCAUGACACAGAAGGGGGAAGGGGGAGGGCUUUUCUGUCACCAAGAUUAAAAA